UACGAGGGGGGCAAGCGUUGUUCGGAAUUAUUGGGCGUAAAGGGCGCGUAGGCGGUGCGGUAAGUCUGAUGUGAAAUCUCCGGGCUCAACUCGGAGUCUGCAUCAGAAACUGCCGUGCUUGAGUGUGGGAGAGGUGAGUGGAAUUCCCGGUGUAGCGGUGAAAUGCGUGGAUAUCGGGAGGAACACCUGUGGCGAAAGCGGCUCACUGGACCACAACUGACGCUGAGGCGCGAAAGCUAGGGGAGCAAACAGG
rnacentral:rRNA from 1 species